UUUUGCCCUUUCAAGAACCCCACUAUCUCUUCUUUAUUUUGCACUUUCUUUGUAAUAACUCAAUCCACUAUCAUGAUAAUUAGUGGUUGAAACCCUUUUGUUUUCUUAGGAGUUAUUUUUUAUCUUAAGCCAUUCCUAUAUAAAGGAGGCAUGUAUCUUCUUUUUAAAUCAAUGAAUUUUGGCAAGUUUACACAUUGUGUAAGUGAGAGUAUUUGCUCUUAGG
rnacentral:lncRNA from 1 species